rnacentral:rRNA from 1 species
UACGUAGGGUGCAAGCGUUGUCCAGAAUUAUUGGGCGUAAAGAGCUCGUAGGCGGUCUGUCGCGUCGGCUGUGAAAACCCGAGGCUCAACCUCGGGCCUGCAGUCGAUACGGGCAAACUAGAGUACUGCAGGGGAGACUGGAAUUCCUGGUGUAGCGGUGAAAUGCGCAGAUAUCAGGAGGAACACCGGUGGCGAAGGCGGGUCUCUGGGCAGUAACUGACGCUGAGGAGCGAAAGCGUGGGGAGCGAACAGG